rnacentral:lncRNA from 1 species
UCUCCAUCAUCGAUGGCUUCACUGCUUGGUACUACUAAUCACUAAUGUUUUCCGUUCCGCUACCCACCUCCAUUUUUAUGUCAAAACAAUAUUCAAGUUUUGAUUUUGAUUAUGUGGUUAUUGAACCUAAAUUUGUUUGAGGAAGAAAAGAGAAGAACAAGAAAUCCAAAAAUUUAGGGCUUGUAGAACAUAAACCCAUAAAUUUUUGGUUUGAGGAACAUAAAUCCAAAAAAUUGAGAGAAUUCAGAUUUGUGGUUUUAAGCUUCUGAUCACUUCAUUGUUAUUUUGC